ACUAUGAGAACAGCAGAUGGAUCAUGGUUAGGAUUGGAAAUGUCCCAAAUCAAGAAGCAUAAUCUUCAGUGGUGAAAACUAUCUACACAUACAGGAGGAGGGGGGAAGAGAGUUGCUACCGUACCUCCACAUAGUACACAGAUGAGAGGAGUGAGCCUCCCAGAAGAGUUAGAAGGCAGGUGACAGAAGGCAGUUUCUCACAGCCCAGUCCAUCCUACCCACUCUGUGAAAGAAAUGGGAGGGUCUGCUUCUCUACAAAGGAGGAAGAGAAGAAACACAUGCGUAUGUGUUGGGAGGGAUGGGGGUAGCCUUCGUAGCCCAAUCCUCAUUCCUCUGAAGGAAGUUACUUGAUUACAAAGGCUCAGUUUAAAACAA